UACGAAGGGGGCUAGCGUUGUUCGGAAUUACUGGGCGUAAAGCGCACGUAGGCGGAUAUUUAAGUGAGGGGUGAAAUCCCAGGGCUCAACCCUGGAACUGCCUCUCAUACUGGGUAUCUCGAGUUCGAGAGAGGUGAGUGGAAUUGCGAGUGUAGAGGUGAAAUUCGUAGAUAUUCGGAAGAACACCAGUGGCGAAGGCGGCUCACUGGACGACUGUUGACGCUGAGGUGCGAAAGCGUGGGGAGCAAACAGG
rnacentral:rRNA from 1 species